UUUGUCUAAAUGGAUAGAGAAGAACUAGAAAAUACAACUCCAGAAGAUAUGAUGGCGAUGUCCUCAUCUCAACAAGCACAGCCUUUCUUCAAUGGAAGUCUCCCCUUCUCCUCUCCUACUCUUCAAUUUCAUCGUUGCUCUGCUGUCAUCUUCAGGUGGAGAUUUGGAAGACACCAUUAUUCAAGUCUAAAUACCAGCAGAACCAAGGGCCAGGCAUUUCGAAUCUUGGCCAAUCCUAAUGUGUCUUCGGGGAAAGGAGAUCCAGGUAAUGAUGUCAUCAUGGUUGACCCUUUGGAAGCUAAACGAUUAGCUGCCAAACAAAUGGAACAAAUUAAAGCUAAAGAGAAAUUCCAGUGUAGAAGACAAAACAUGUCCUUUUUGAGAAGACGCCGAAUUGAAGCAAUUAAUGGGGCAUGGGCAAUGAUUGGUCUCACAGCGGGCUUAGUUAUUGAAGGUCAAACAGGAAAAAGUAUUCUAGCACAGUUGGCUGGUUAUUUGUCUGCGAUUAUCCAUCUUUUUGUGCAAUAGGCUUGUUCCCGUUGUGGAUGAUUUGUGGAAUGCAGAUUUAUUCCUGAACCACUUUUGCAUAUCAAACAUUUUUGUUGGGACUAUGUCAAUUCCCAAGAAAAAGGACUCAGUCAAGAAUUUUGUUACCAAAUACGAUUACUGCAGAUACAUACAAAAUCUACCUCAAAAAUGGGAGGCUCAUGGCUUUCAUAGCAGCACUCGUCAUCUCCCUUCACACCGUGCUCUACCUGCUCAAUGUCUUCUCGGUUAAAUCAAUGCUCACCGAUUUGAUAACCAAGCAAAGCGACCUUCUUCUUACAACUCCGGGUACUCCUGAAUUUACCAACCUUUCAAUUGGUAUGCAGAAAGACAUCAAAAUCUAUGCUGGAGUUGAAUGGAUUUUCUUGCUUAUCAUGGCCAUUGCGUCCUUAUUCUUGGCAAUAUCAACGACCCAUGCAUCAGCUUUAAUCCAUGGUGGCAAAAAGAUAUCCAUCAAGGAUUUGGUAUUGAGGACAGUCAGAUCAUUGAAAGGGCCAUUCGUUACUUGUUUCUACAUCACUCUCUUUGGUCUUGGUUACAUCUUUCUUUGCUUGUUCACUCUGCUUCCACUUGUUCUAAUUCUUGGAAGUGGAGUCAUCUCAUCAGUUUUUGCGAUCCCGCUCUCCAUUUCAGCUAUGGUUUUCUGCAGUUAUUUAUCCGUUGUUUGGGAUCUGUCCCUUGUUAUUUCCGUACUUGAAGAAACAUCCGGGAUCGAAGCACUUGGGAAGGCUGCACAGAUUGUCAAAGGCAUGAAGUUACAAGGGUUUAUAUUGAAUCUUCUGUUAACUAUAAUAUAUCUACUACUGUUGCAGUGUUCAAGACUGAUCAUGUUAAAGCAAUCGGAAGCAAUCCGAAUUGUUAUCACGUUGCUACUACUGAAUUCAAUCUGGAUGGUGAGGAUGUUUGGCCGUACAGCAUACACUGUUUUGUAUUACCAAUGCAAGAAGACGCAUGGGGAAGAGGUUGAAUUGCAAGCAGAUAUGGAAUACACCAAAAUACCCACUGCCCCAGUUGUUAAUGAAAACAUUCCAUGAUGAAUCAGAAAAGAUUUCCUGUAUAUUAAUCAAAAGUCAUGUAACGCUUAUGCUUUUUACUGUCCUGUUUGCCAAUAUUCUGGUGUAAGUUCACCUGUAAUUUUUCAUAAUGUCAAGAAGCUAAUGGAAUCUGUUAAAUUGCACUGGAAAUCUGAAAUGACCAAUAAGGUUUGGCAUUAGGAGUGCUGUAGAUGCCAACCUUUCAGCA